UACGAACGCUGGCGGCGUGCUUAACACAUGCAAGUCGAACGGAAAGGCCUGCUUUCCCUUGUGGAUUGCGGGUACUCGAGUGGCGAACGGGUGAGUAACACGUGAGUGAUCUGCCCCCAACUUGGGUAUAAGCCUGGGAAACUGGGUCUAAUUCCCGAUAGGACUGCAGGGUGGUGCCUGUGGUGGAAAACGAUUUUCUAGUGGUUGGGGAUGAGCUCGCGGCCUAUCAGCUUGUUGGUGGGGUAAUGGCCUACCAAGGCGGCGACGGGUAGCCGGCCUGAGAGGGUGGACGGCCACAUUGGGACUGAGAUACGGCCCAGACUCCUACGGGAGGCAGCAGUGGGGAAUAUUGCACAAUGGGCGGAAGCCUGAUGCAGCGACGCCGCGUGGGGGAUGACGGCCUUCGGGUUGUAAACUCCUUUCGACCGCGAGGAAGCCACCUGGUUGGAAGGGUGGUGACGGUAGUGGUAGAAGAAGCACCGGCUAACUACGUG
rnacentral:rRNA from 1 species